rnacentral:rRNA from 1 species
AGUGAACGCUGGCGGUAGGCCUAACACAUGCAAGUCGAACGGCAGCACAGUAAGAGCUUGCUCUUACGGGUGGCGAGUGGCGGACGGGUGAGGAAUACAUCGGAAUCUACUUUUUCGUGGGGGAUAACGUAGGGAAACUUACGCUAAUACCGCAUACGACCUACGGGUGAAAGCAGGGGAUCUUCGGACCUUGCGCGAUUGAAUGAGCCGAUGUCGGAUUAGCUAGUUGGCGGGGUAAAGGCCCACCAAGGCGACGAUCCGUAGCUGGUCUGAGAGGAUGAUCAGCCACACUGGAACUGAGACACGGUCCAGACUCCUACGGGAGGCAGCAGUGGGGAAUAUUGGACAAUGGGCGCAAGCCUGAUCCAGCCAUACCGCGUGGGUGAAGAAGGCCUUCGGGUUGUAAAGCCCUUUUGUUGGGAAAGAAAAGCAGCAGGUUAAUAAACCGCUGUUCUGACGGUACCCAAAGAAUAAGCACCGGCUAACUUCGUG